rnacentral:rRNA from 1 species
CCCGCACAAGCGGUGGAGCAUGUGGUUUAAUUCGAAGCAACGCGAAGAACCUUACCAGGUCUUGACAUCCCUGACAACCCGAGAGAUCGGGCGUUCCCCCUUCGGGGGGACAGGGUGACAGGUGGUGCAUGGUUGUCGUCAGCUCGUGUCGUGAGAUGUUGGGUUAAGUCCCGCAACGAGCGCAACCCUCGACCUUAGUUGCCAGCAUUCAGUUGGGCACUCUAAGGUGACUGCCGGCUAAAAGUCGGAGGAAGUGGGGAUGACGUCAAAUCAUCAUGCCCCUUAUGACCUGGGCUACACACGUGCUACAAUGGUUGGUACAACGAGUUGCGAGUCGGUGACGGCGAGCUAAUCUCUUAAAGCCAAUCUCAGUUCGGAUUGUAGGCUGCAACUCGCCUACAUGAAGUCGGAAUCGCUAGUAAUCGCGGAUCAGCACGCCGCGGUCGAAUACGUUCCCGGGCCUU